CGAGGGCCAACAGGACGACGUAUCUGAAGUGGUCAUUAAUGAAGAUUGCGCAUGCGAGCUUCCUGAUAAUUUGGAAGAAAGUGAAUACAAUGACCCACCUGUGCAGGAUUGGCUUCCCCCCCUUUCAAGCUCUUGCUCACGAACAACAGCAGAACAAGACGCUGCAAGGGCACUUGUUGAACUUCAAGAGCUGGGCCACACACCUGAGCUAAACAAAUCCGUUCAAGUGAACUCACUGGACUUCACACAAAAAUUUAGGAUUUCGGACGUGCUUCUUUCUGAUGCUCACCUAAACACUUUGACUGGCGUACCUUCUCAUGCACUUCUAAACAAGAUUGUUUCACUCGUAGAGAAGUAUGAGGUGGCAAAUAGGAUGGAAGCUUCUGUGAGGGACAGAGUUAUUUUGGUGUUCAUAGUUCUGAAACAGGCUAUGUCAUUUUCCUGUCUCAGUGUUCUUUUUCAAUGCAGCAUUUCGUCCAUACACAGAUAUUUUGUGCACACACUGCCUCUUGUUGCUGCAGUGCUGAAAGCUGCCAUUGAGUGGCCUUCAAAGGAGGAAAUUUUAAACAAUAUGCCUUCGCGCUUUAAACAGUAUCCGAGAGUGCGAGGUGUUGUAGAUUGCACAGAAAUCCCAGUUGAAAGGUCUCGCUGUGUGAAAUGUCAGCUACUGACAUGUUCACAAUACAAGUCGACUUACACUGUAAAAUUUCUCAUAUGUGUAAGUCCAGCUAGCACAAUAACAUUCAUCAGUGAAGCAUUUGGUGGACGAGCCUCAGACAAAGCCAUUACAGCCGAGUGUGCAAUAUUGGAGAAGUUCGAGUCAU